UCCCUGGUAGUAUAUCGGAUUAGUACACGCGCCUGUCAAUUUAAUUGGUCGCGCGAGAGCGGGGUUCGACUCCCCGCCAGGGAG